UUGAUUAUUUCUCAUACCAACUCAGUCGUAUAAUGUAAAACAGGAUUUGGGGGGUCUCUGGGAGCACGUGCAGAUCGACGAGAGGGCCGACCUACAGCCCGGCCCACAGGGGGCCGGGCGUCUCCCAAAGCAACAGGUAUAAGUAAACAGGGUGUGAAGGUUGCAUCGCUGCAACUUCUUGGUAAUGAUCCCUCCGCAGGUUCACCUACGGAGA
rnacentral:misc_RNA from 1 species